CUUGGUCAUUUAGAGGAAGUAAAAGUCGUAACAAGGUUUCCGUAGGUGAACCUGCGGAAGGAUCAUUAGCAAGUGGAGAGGACGCCUCGACCGGCGUCCCGACGAAAGGAAGUGGAAGUGGAAGCGGCCGAGCGUGCCGGACGAACCGGUCCGCGCGGCCCGCUUCGCUCGUCCACAAUCCCUUUCCGUGUACCAUCCCCUGUUGCUUUCCCGGACUCAAGGGUCGUUUGAGCGUCCCGUCCGGGAACGGACCGAAGCCAUUUGCAAAGCAGUCGUCUGACGGGAUGGCUCGCAAGCCAUCGUGAACCCGAAAAGUUAAAACUUUCAACAACGGAUCUCUUGGUUCUCGCAUCGAUGAAGAACGCAGCGAAAUGCGAUAAGUAAUGUGAAUUGCAGAAUUCAGUGAAUCAUCGAAUCUUUGAACGCACAUUGCGCCCUCCGGCAUUCCGGGGGGCAUGCCUGUCCGAGCGUCACGAAAACCCCAUCACACUCGUUGUGGUCAUGGCUGCAGUGAGUCGUCUCCAGCGGAGAGGGUCACGCCGCUGAAAGGAAUGGUGCGGAUGAGUUCCGAUGGCCGAACGUAGUACUUGACAACCGUCGGCCGAUGGGACCCUCCAUCUCGCCCUGACGACGUACCCCCGUCGUACCCCCGAUCAGGUGGACCUCGGAUCAGGUAGGGAUACCCGCUGAACUUAAGCAUAUCAAUAAGCGGAGGA
rnacentral:misc_RNA from 1 species